rnacentral:rRNA from 1 species
GAUGAACGCUGGCGGCGUGCCUAAUACAUGCAAGUCGAGCGAACAGACGAGGAGCUUGCUCCUCUGACGUUAGCGGCGGACGGGUGAGUAACACGUGGAUAACCUACCUAUAAGACUGGGAUAACUUCGGGAAACCGGAGCUAAUACCGGAUAAUAUAUUGAACCGCAUGGUUCAAUAGUGAAAGACGGUUUUGCUGUCACUUAUAGAUGGAUCCGCGCCGCAUUAGCUAGUUGGUAAGGUAACGGCUUACCAAGGCAACGAUGCGUAGCCGACGUGAGAGGAGGAUCGGCCACACGGGAGCGGAGACGGGGCCCAGCCGCCUGCGGGAGGCAGAAGAGGGGAACGUUCGGCAGUGGGGGAAAACUGGCCGGAACAGGGCGGGGGGGGUGAGGAGGACCUCGGGUUCGAAAAGCCUGUUUAUUGGGGAAAAACAAAUGUGGAAUAAAAUGAACAGGUCGUGACGGUACCUAAUAAAGAAGCCCCGGCUAACUACGUG